CUGUCUCCUAGGCUAGCCUGAAAGCUGACUCUAUAAAUAAGCCCUUUGCACAGCAGUGCCAAGACUUGGUUAAAGUCAUUGAGGAUUUCCCAGCAAAGGAGCUGCACACCAUCUUCCCAUGGCUGGUAGAGAGCAUUUUUGGCAGCCUAGAUGGUGUCCUCAUUGGCUGGAACCUCCGCUGCUUACAAGGGCAUGUGAAUCCUGUGGAGUACAGCAUCGUGAUGGAAUUUCUUGACCCUGGUGGCCCAAUGAUGAAGUUGGUUUAUAAGCUUCAAGCUGAAGACUAUAGGUUUGACUUUCCUGUCUCCUACCUGCCUGGUCCUGUGAAGGCGUCCAUCCAGGAGCGCAUCCUCCCUGACAGUCCCCUGUACCACAACAAGGUCCGCUUCACCCCUACUGGGGGCCUUGGCCUGAACCUGGCCCUGAAUCCGUUCGAGUAUUACAUAUUCUUCUUUGCCGUGAGCCUCAUCACUCAAAAGCCACUCCCUGUGUCCCUCCACGUCCGUACUUCAGACUGUGCCUAUUUCAUCCUGGUGGACAGGUACCUGUCGUGGUUCCUGCCCACCGAAGGCAGUGUGCCCCCGCCACUCUCCUCCAGUCCAGGGGGAACCAGCCCCUCACCACCUCCCAGGACACCAGCCAUGCCCUUUGCUUCCUAUGGCCUCCACCACACUAGCCUCCUGAAGCGACACAUCUCUCAUCAGACGUCUGUGAAUGCAGACCCCGCCUCCCAUGAGAUCUGGAGGCCAGAAACUCUGCUCCAGGUUUUUGUUGAAAUGUGGCUUCAUCACUAUUCCUUGGAGAUGUAUCAAAAAAUGCAGUCCCCUCACGCCAAGGUAUGUUUCCACAGUUUUUCUUCCCACUUUCUGCUUCUGACCCUGCUCAACCUGCUGCUGCUU